rnacentral:tRNA from 1 species
GGAGAGGUCGCGUAGUCCGGUUUAGCGCGCACGCCUGGAGAGCGUGUUUGCCGAAAGGCAACGCGGGUUCAAAUCCCGCCCUCUCCG